GCUUUUAAUCUACUUGACAAAAAAAUAAUAUGAAAAACUAGGUUUAAUAUCUUGUUGUUGAGUGCAUUGUGGUUUUGAGCUCAUUUCACAUCCUCUGGCCCUCGUUGUCCUCUCCAACCUCUCCCUACCCUCCGAUUCCGUCGUUGCCAUGCUCCCCUCCCGCCUCACCCACGACCUCUUUGCUAAAAUCUUCGCCGCCUACUACCACCCUCAUCCACCUCCGCUCCACCCCCAAUAACAACCCUAAUCUCCACCCCUACCCCUAUGGCUACAGGUACGUCUUCGACCAUGCCGACUCACUUCAUCGACAACCUCCGACGACAUCGUCUAGGACAACGUCUUGGGUCGGCCCCAGACGGCACCGACCACGCCACCCACCUCCACCGACAUUCCUUUGAAGAGGUCAAGAAGGAGUUCGACCUUGUCCCCAUACUUCCAGAAGCUUCCCUUGUUCGCCAGAAGUACACCAAUGAAUAUGAAGUUGUUGUCAACGAACAAAUCAAGUGGAUUUUUUAAGGAGUCAAGUGAGGAGGAAAGAGAGCAUGUUGAUAAAUUGAUGGAAUAUCAGCAAGGGAACUUGCUCUGUCUUUUGGAGAAGCUAACAAAUGAGAAGCUUCUUAACUUGCACACUGUUGCCUCAAAGAACAAUGAUGUGUAAUUGACAGAUUUUAUUGAAAGCGAAUUUUUAGAUGAACAGGAUCUUGGAUGAAUCACUCCAGCCCCUGAUGGAUACAAUCUAGCUACAUGGAUGCUUGAGGUUACCACACUAAUUGUUGAAGAGAAACUUGGUGUAGACUUGUUUUGUUUUAAUUUUAAAAUAUAGCUUUACAUUCGUGCAUCUCUUAACAGUGAGCUUGAAGAGAAUUUUGACAUUGGAAUAAUUAUUAGGACUACUUAUGACAGUGUAGUCAAUAGGACUUUAAUAGGUAGUUGAGUGUUGAUUUUUCUCUAAUCAUUGUACCUAGCAGUCUAGGACAAGCCUCUUGACUGUCCAACUCCUCAUUGUAUCAACUCUUAAUCACUAUAAAUAAGAUGAACAUAAGAAGGAUCCAAAAAGCCUUAUGAAGAUAUAUUAAUCUGUUUUUAAUCUUAAGUUGGUAUCAGAGCGGGUUUAUCCCGCUCUGGUUUCCAUCUCGUCUUGUCCGGCAGCACUAAUCACUGCUGUCCGCAUAUGUCUUGCCUGUUUGCUAAUGUCCACCUCUGUUUGGAGCUCUCCAACGUGUUAACCACUCUUUUUUGCCAAUUUGUCGUCGUCCGCCACCGUCAGCUGCUGUUCGCCGCCGACCGCCGUCAAUGGCCACCCUAGUUUUCGCCGGCGACCACUAAAUCUGGAGCGCCUCUCCGAGCGAUAGCCACCCCCGUCGGUGCCGGAUCCAGACUCCCAUUCACGCGCCACAUCUCUCUCUGCUUCGAACAUGCGCGUGAAGUCCACGCGCCACCAUCCUCUUGUUGGAUCUUCACCACACCACUUCCAUAGCUCUUUCCGAAGUCUCCUCUGUCUGUUUUGACCCUUAAAAUUCCAUUUCGGUGAAGUCCAGAAGCCUCCCUUGCGGAAAUCUCCCUAGGGUUUUCAAAAAUCCUCACUGUUUCUGCAUCUUCUCUUUGUUUUCUUUGUCCCCUUGAUCUGAAAAGGCCACUGGAAGUGUUGGAGGUGCUAUUUCAUUCUUUGGAAGCCCUACAUCCCUUCCGAGAAACUAAAUGGCUGAAAUUAUCUAUCUUGGUCUGUUGCCGUCUAAAUGUGGUUUCUUUGUCAAGGACAUCACGACCACCUUGAGAAAGAUGAAAGCCAUGUACUUACUGAAAAAGCUAAACAGUGGAAACAGGCAGAUUUCCAACUAUGUGCUUUGUUGUGGCAGUCGGUGGAACCAAGACUUUUGAUGUCCAUCAGAGCCUUCAAAACAUGUCACUCCUUUUGGAAGAUGGCUCAGAACAUCUAUGCCAAUGAUAUCCAACGCCUCUAUGAUUCGACAAACAAGCUGACAUCUUUAAAAAUGACCAACCAUGAUAUGAUCUCUUAAUGAAUGAAGCCCAACCGGCUGUUCAAGAUGUUCAUGUCAUACAACAAGUUCUCCCUAUUCCAGUGGUUGAGUCAAAUAUUUCCAAUGUCUCUGUCAAUCCAGGUCUUGAUCAAAGUCCUCCUGAACCAUCAUCUCCACCUAUUGAUACCUUACAACACAUGACCCCAAUGGAUAGUCCAGUUUUCCAAGAACAUGGUGAAUCCCUUACAUCAGAUUCAGAGUUACUCUUUGCUGAAAAAAUUGAAGCAGAGAAAAUAUGAUCUUCGUCAUCUUGCUCAACAACUUGGGCAUUGACUUCAUGUUGUUUGCUUCCACAAAUUACAGCUUCAUGUCCAAGUUGAUUACACUUGUUGCAUUUUGCAUCUGGUCUUUUCCAACACCUGAAUGGUGGAUGACCCAAUUUUCUGCAGUGCUCACAAGGUGGGUAAUUUUUCUUUUUGCCCUUGCCUUUGUAUGUAGUGUUUUCACCGCUUGUUUGUUUAUGCUUCUUGAAGUUUUUCUUUCCACUGUGAUGCUUUGCCGGUAAUGCACCUUCAACCACUUGAUCUUGUCUCAUAAGCCUCCGUUGCUCUUGGGCCUGCAAGGCAUGUAACACCUCUGCCAAGGUAAUCUUGGACAGAUCUUUUGUGUUUUCUAGAGUGGUUAUGGAUGCCUCAUACCUUUCUGGCACAGUUACAAGAAUUUUUUCGAUAAUUCUGCAAUCCAAAAAAUUUGUGCCAAGUAAUCUUACCUUGUUAACAAUGGCAAGCAAUCUGUCUGAGUACUCUUUAAUGGUCUCAGACUCCUUCAUCUUUUGAAGCUCAAAUUCUCUCAUCAAAUUCAACACUUGCAUACCUCGAAUCCUUUCAUCCCCUGCAUACUCCUUCUUUAGAUACUCCCAUAUUUCUUUUGCUGUUUUUAAGGUCAUGAUUCGAGUGAAGAGGGUUGCCGAAACACCAGCAAAGAGACAUGAUUUCGCCUUUGCUUUCCGAGUUUUCUUCUCCUUGUAACUUUUCAUCUGGGUCAUGGUGGGAUUUUCGGGCAGCGGAAGGAUUUCGUAAUCUUCUUCAAUGGCUUCCCAAAGAUCCAAAGCCUCUAGGUAAGCCCCCAUUUUUAUCGCCCAGGCAUCGUAGUUCUCUCCGUCAAAGACCGGAGGUGCUACUUGGGAGAAAUUUGAUUCAGCGUCCAUUAUUUCACAGGCCCGUAAGGAAACAGCUCUGGAUACCAGAUUGUUGGAGUUGAAAGGGAAAUAAUUUAAUCGGGAGAAGGAAAAAACAGAACCAGGUAAAGUGUACAGUAUUAUGAGAUUGAUAUGAAGAAAUGGCUUAUUUUAUUCAACGUAGCAGCAAUACAUUUAUAACAAAAAAUAAAACUGACAGUAACCACAUAAGCAUGAUUUCAGGGAACGUGAAUAACAGUCAUAGGUCUACACGUGUUAACCCCUACAGUGAAUAACGUCCCUCAUGUCUCUCUAGGUGUCUAUGUCUCUCCCGGCGUCUCUCCCGGUCCUAGCCUCCUGUUCCGUCGCCGCAUGAUCUGAUCGCGACGAGGUGGGGGUUUUUUAUAGCGACGCCAUAUGUGUGGAAAAAGGGUGCGUAGGGCCUUGAAAUGAUCCCGUACUCCCUUGUACUUACGUACAAGGGUAGAAAAUGUAACCUGAGGGUUGUCUGGAUCAAUCACGUCGAACGUUCCCUCAUCCAGGUCUGUGAUAAGUCCAGAGACACCGCACUUGAGAGUGCGGCAAUAAUCUUUAAAUAAGUCUGAUAUUUGCAGAAAGAAACAUCUAAUCUGAAAAAAAAUAAAUAAAAAUGUUAAUGCUUAUCUAUAGAAUUAACAAUGUAUAAAAUUAACAAAACAAUUACUUAUAAUGUUACUACUUCUUUACUUACCUGCACUGCCGUCAAGGGGGUAGGAUGUUGUGCUCUCAAGGUAGCAGAGAAUGUCUCACACUCUUCUAACGAGUAGUGGCAUGAGAUGAUAUCCCUAAUAUAAGAUUUUUUCGUGGUGGUUAAAUUCACCACCAUGUAUAAUAAAACCCGAUAAGUCUCAUCUAGUGUUUGUCCUAGAUCAGGGAAUUCAUCCUCUGGAGGUGGAGGAUGCGGGUUCUGCACACCAUCGUCUGCAUGUGGAGAAGGAUUUCUCGGUCACCAGGGAAGAUUUACAGAAGAUUCACAGCACAGCAGCAGUUCGAGAAAGCAAGAAAUGGUGAAGAUUCACAGCACAGCAGCAGUUCGAGAAAGCAAGAAAGCAGGCCGAUUAGAAGAAUGCAGAUUAGAAGCUGGGAUUCAAAAAUUUAAAUGGUGUUAAUUAUGAAAAAAA